UACGGGGGGAGCAAGCGUUGUUCGGAUUUACUGGGCGUAAAGGGCGCGUAGGCGGCCUGUGCAAGUCAGUUGUGAAAUCUCCGAGCUUAACUCGGAACGGUCAACUGAUACUGCUCGGCUAGAGUGCGGAAGGGGCAACUGGAAUUCUUGGUGUAGCGGUGAAAUGCGUAGAUAUCAAGAGGAACACCUGCGGCGAAGGCGGGUUGCUGGGCCGACACUGACGCUGAUGCGCGAAAGCCAGGGGAGCAAACGGG
rnacentral:rRNA from 1 species